GCAAAUUUGAUAGAUAACAUUUAAUUCAUUACACAAAUCGUUAUUGUCUGGUAUGUGUUAAGAGCUAGACUUAUAUGUUAAUAUCUGGUGCACACAUUAUAACUUGAUUUGAUGAGUUUGGUUAGAUACCAGGAGAGAGCCUAACUUGGGAUACAAAUUACAUGAGGACUUCUUUGCCUUGCAUAGAGAGUGGCUUUCAGGUGAGACAAGUGAGCAGCGGCCAAGAUCAGGAAAGUGGCUUCAUGAAAGUAUGGGCAGGACAUUUCUGAUAACUGUGCUGGUUUCUUCCUUUGAGAGGAACAGCUAUCCUUCUGGUUGCCUGAAAGACGGCUGAGUCACUUAGAGAAAGACAGUGCCUGGGGGAGUGUCGGCUACACACUCAAGCCCUCAGCUUUGGGCCACCGCCAUCCCAGGCCCCUUUCCAGUCAAGAGUGGAUGAAGAACAAAAUGGAUUCCGAGGGCAGACAUCGUGCCAUGGACGGUGCUUCUCUCGGGAAGGCUAACUGGAUUAAAAAAGAACUGCACCAACAUUUUUGGGAGCGCCCCCAGGCCCCUUCUCUUCCAUUGGCUGUCCGCUCCCCGGGGGUGGGAAGUUCGAUGGUCUCCAGUCUGAACAAAAGGUGUUCUUGAGUUCCCCCGGGGAAAUCCCGGCCCACCAAGCUCAAACUCUUGUCAGAGGUUUCUGAUCUUAACAAUAAAGAGCGUGCACCG